rnacentral:rRNA from 1 species
UGCAAGUCGAACGGCGGCACGGGGGCAACCCUGGUGGCGAGUGGCGAACGGGUGAGUAAUACAUCGGAACGUGCCCUGUAGUGGGGGAUAACUAGUCGAAAGAUUAGCUAAUACCGCAUACGACCUGAGGGUGAAAGCGGGGGACCGCAAGGCCUCGCGCUACAGGAGCGGCCGAUGUCUGAUUAGCUAGUUGGUGGGGUAAAAGCCUACCAAGGCGACGAUCAGUAGCUGGUCUGAGAGGACGAUCAGCCACACUGGGACUGAGACACGGCCCAGACUCCUACGGGAGGCAGCAGUGGGGAAUUUUGGACAAUGGGGGCAACCCUGAUCCAGCAAUGCCGCGUGUGUGAAGAAGGCCUUCGGGUUGUAAAGCACUUUUGUCCGGAAAGAAAUGGCUCUGGUUAAUACCCGGGGUCGAUGACGGUACCGGAAGAAUAAGCACCGGCUAACUACGUGCCAGCAGCCGCGGUAAUACGUAGGGUGCGAGCGUUAAUCGGAAUUACUGGGCGUAAAGCGUGCGCAGGCGGUUUUGUAAGACAGGCGUGAAAUCCCCGAGCUCAACUUGGGAAUGGCGCUUGUGACUGCAAGGCUAGAGUAUGUCAGAGGGGGGUAGAAUUCCACGUGUAGCAGUGAAAUGCGUAGAGAUGUGGAGGAAUACCGAUGGCGAAGGCAGCCCCCUGGGACGUCACUGACGCUCAUGCACGAAAGCGUGGGGAGCAAACAGGAUUAGAUACCCUGGUAGUCCACGCCCUAAACGAUGUCAACUAGUUGUUGGGGAUUCAUUUCUUCAGUAACGUAGCUAACGCGUGAAGUUGACCGCCUGGGGAGUACGGUCGCAAGAUUAAAACUCAAAGGAAUCGACGGGGACCCGCACAAGCGGUGGAUGAUGUGGAUUAAUUCGAUGCAACGCAAAAAACCUUACCUACCCUUGACAUGCCACUAACGAA